UGAAGAUGGUUUGGAUGAUGAUGAUGAUGAUGAUGAUGAUGAUCAUGCUAAUGAACAUGCUAAUCAACAUCAUCAUCAUCAUCAUCAACGUCGUAC
rnacentral:pre_miRNA from 1 species